UACGAAGGGGGCGAGCGUUGUUUCGGAAUUACUGGGCGUAAAGGGCGCGUAGGCGGCCGAUCAAGUCAGAUGUGAAAGUCCUGGGCUUAACCUGGGGACUGCAUUUGAUACUGAUUGGCUUGAAUUCGGGAGAGGGAUGCAGAAUUCCAGGUGUAGCGGUGAAAUGCGUAGAUAUCUGGAGGAAUACCGGUGGCGAAGGCGGCAUCCUGGCCCGAUACUGACGCUGAGGCACGAAAGCGUGGGGAGCAAACAGG
rnacentral:rRNA from 1 species